rnacentral:rRNA from 1 species
UAUGGUGAGAAUAAGCAUCGGCUAACUUCGUGCCAGCAGCCGCGGUAAGACGAAGGAUGCAAGCGUUAUCCGGAUUCAUUGGGUUUAAGGGAGCGUAGGUGGACUGAUAAGUCAGUGGUGAAAUCUUCGAGCUUAACUCGGAAAUUGCCAUUGAUACUGUUGGUCUUGAGUACAGUUGCUGUGGGCGGAAUAUGACAUGUAGUGGUGAAAUACAUAGAGAUGUCAUAGAACACCGAUUGCGAAGGCAGCUCACAAAGCUGUAACUGACACUGAGGCUCGAAAGUGUGGGGAUCAAACAGGAUUAGAUACCCUGGUAGU